UAGACAGAUUAUUGUAUUCGACUGUAUUCACGGCUUGAAACAGGGGAUUACAUUGUUUUUAAACGGAAAGUGAAUCAAUUAACAUAAUAGACUCCU
rnacentral:pre_miRNA from 1 species